GACGAACCGUCCAAACGUUAUUCGGAAUCACUGGGCUUACAGAGUUCGUAGGCGGUCUGGAAAGUUGGGUGUGAAAUCCCUCGGCUCAACCGAGGAACUGCGCUCAAAACUGCCAGACUCGAGGGAGAUAGAGGAAAGCGGAACUGAUGGUGGAGCGGUGAAAUGCGUUGAUAUCAUCAGGAACACCGGUGGCGAAGGCGGAUCUCUGGGCCGAUACUGACGCUGAGGAGCGAAAGCGUGGGGAGCGAACAGGA
rnacentral:rRNA from 1 species